GGCCACAUCUCGUUGAAACACCGGUUCCCGUACGAUCAUCGAAGUUAAGCAACGUCGAAUCUGGUCAGUACCUAGAUGGUUGUCUGUUUGAGAAUACUGGGUGAUGUA